rnacentral:rRNA from 1 species
GAUGAACGCUGGCGGCGUGCCUAAUACAUGCAAGUCGAGCGAACAGAUGAGGAGCUUGCUCCUCUGACGUUAGCGGCGGACGGGUGAGUAACACGUGGAUAACCUACCUAUAAGACUGGGAUAACUUCGGGAAACCGGAGCUAAUACCGGAUAAUAUAUUGAACCGCAUGGUUCAAUAGUGAAAGACGGUUUUGCUGUCACUUAUAGAUGGAUCCGCGCCGCAUUAGCUAGUUGGUAAGGUAACGGCUUACCAAGGCAACGAUGCGUAGCCGACCUGAGAGGGUGAUCGGCCACACUGGAACUGAGACACGGUCCAGACUCCUACGGGAGGCAGCAGUAGGGAAUCUUCCGCAAUGGGCGAAAGCCUGACGGAGCAACGCCGCGUGAGUGAUGAAGGUCUUCGGAUCGUAAAACCCUGUUAUUAGGGAAGAACAAAUGUGUAAGUAACUAUGCACGUCUUGACGGUACCUAAUCAGAAAGCCACGGCUAACUAUGUG